GCGGUCACACUUUUCUUUGUUCUUAGUCUAUCACCCCAAUUCUUCCCUUUCCUUUCUAGAAAUUCCGUUUUUUAUAUUUCUAAACUUCAUAAAAUUCAGACACAAAAUAUGUUUAUGAAUAUUGUGUAGGCCUUUCAAUUCGCUGCAAUUACUCCUCUACAGGACAUGGUAACUUUUCAUGUUCGUUUCUAACCGUUCUCUAUAUCCUUACCAGAGCUUUUUGAAGAUCAUUAUUUAUAGAUUCUAGUUUAUCUUGAUCAGCACUUUUUGGCUAGGAUGAGAUGUACACAACGGAGCUAGAACAUGUGAUGAGAAAAAAUUGAAGCUCAUGGAUACCAGCAAGUACACUAGAUCGUUCAAGUAAUACCACGGAAAACAAAUGUUAACCAAUUGGGCCAGCUUUAAUUUCAAUACUACAAGCCCAAGUCUCACAAGUGAUGAAUGUUUCCAAGCUUGGUCCGAAACCAAAGAAAAAUGAAAGCCAAGUGCUUCCAACGGAACCAAGUUUUAACCAUGUGAUGGAUUUCAAAAUCUAUUACAUUGUUAAUUAAUGCAUGGGGAACAUGAGAGAGAAAAAUUCAGCUGAAGUGAUUGACGGUUGUUAUGACUUACACGCCACUCUAUGUUAGGGAAGUAAAAGCAAGCUAUGCCUAAUCAAUUUGAUCAACCGCUUGGUAUUGCUUUUCUUUCAGAUUUCUUUUACUCUCUCUCUCAUCUCUUUCUUCUUCUCUAUUCGGUCCUUGUCCAGGAAACAAUGGAAGAAAUGUUCUUCAACACCGAAAGGAAGAUGUUGCAUGCGCCUAAGACCAUCAAGCUAAUGAUGGCAAGAAAACAUACCAAAAGAAAGAUGAGCUGUGGCUGAGAUUACUACCAAAUAUGGUUAGAUUUGGUGAGGUAAUCUUGAGCCUCUCAUGCUCAAAAAGGGAAGUUGAAGAUUUGGCCAAGAGGGAGAUUCUUGAAGCAUGGCUUGUCUUCGAUUCUGAUCAACCACCACAGGGAGUAGCUAGAGUGGCGAAGUGAUGGUUGAAGGCAGAGAUUGAAGCAGAUGAAGUCAUCAUCAUCAUGAAGCAUCAAGGGCCAGAAAUCCAUCUUGGAGAGGAAGCCAAGGAUGGAGAGCUCGGAUUGAUGUAGGGUGAUGAUCAAGAAAGGACUAGAGGUAAUUGCAUGUUGGUUAAUGCAUGGUUAUCUCUUCUCUCUCUGUGUGGCCGAACUGGUUCUGUGUUUGUUGAAGGAGGAAGAAAGUUGGUUCGGUUUUGGCUUCAAGUGUGGAGGCUUUCCUCUUCUUUAAAAAGGGGGAACAACCACUGUUUGGAGCAAGGAGUAAGAUUUGAGAGUGCAAGGCACAGAGUUCUCAGAGCUACCUAAGCUAGCAGUUCUCUUCUCCUUCAAUGUUUUCUGUUUAGUAUUUUUCUGUUUAAUUUUGUCAUGUCUUGAGUCUCAUGGAAAAAAGGCAAACAGUGAGGUUUGUAUGAAAAAGCCAUAGAGCGGAAAAAGGCAGAGAGUGCAAAAUUAAAAGAAAAAGCCAUAGAUGUCUUAGAGUUCCUUUGUACAUCUGUGUUGUGUUUCAUGAU